UUCUCUCCGGGGAGCAGCAGUGGGAAUAUUGCACAAUGGCGAAAGCUGAUCCAGCCAUGCCGCGUGUGUGAAGAAGGUCUUCGGAUUGUAAAGCACUUUAAGCGGGGAGGAAGGCGAGAAGUUAAUUACCUUGCCGUUUGACGUUACCAGCAGAAGAAGCACCGGCUAACUUCGUGCCAGCAGCCGCGGUAAUACGGAGGGUGCAAGCGUUAAUCGGAAUUACUGGGCGUAAAGCGCGCGCAGGCGGUCAUUAAGUCAGAUGUGAAAUCCCCGGGCUUAACCUGGGAACUGCAUCCGAAACUGGCGGGCUUGAGUCUCGUAGAGGGGGGUAGAAUUCCCGGUGUAGCGGUGAAAUGCGUAGAGAUCUGGAGGACACACCGGUGGCCAAGGCGACCACCUCGACGAAUACUGACGCUUCCGUCGGCCCCGU
rnacentral:rRNA from 1 species